GAUGAACGCUAGCGGCAGGCUUAAUACAUGCAAGUCGUGGGGCAGCAGGUUUGUAGCAAUACAGAUGCUGGCGACCGGCAAACGGGUGCGGAACACGUACAGAACCUUCCUUUGAGCGGGGAAUAGCCCAGAGAAAUUUGGAUUAAUACCCCAUAGUAUAAUGAAGUGGCAUCACUUUAUUAUUAAAGAUUUAUCACUCGAAGAUGGCUGUGCGGCUGAUUAGGUAGUUGGCGGGGUAAAGGCCCACCAAGCCUGCGAUCAGUAACUGGUGUGAGAGCACGACCAGUCACACGGGCACUGAGACACGGGCCCGACUCCUACGGGAGCAGCAGUAAGGAAUAUUGGGUCAAUGGAGGCAACUCUGAACCAGCCAUGCCGCGUGGAGGAUG
rnacentral:rRNA from 1 species